CCCGGCAGUGGUUUAGCUGAGGGCCAUGAAAGGCAAAUUUCAGACGGUGUUAUGAAUUAUUGCGCCUUAUGAACCUUCCUACUCUCAACAGAUGCCUGCUGCCAUUUAAACAGCCACUAGAUCAAUUAGGAAUGAAAGGCACAAAUCGACUCAGUACAAGGGCACUAAAUUACCAGGAACUAAUAAUCCGCAGCAUCGUGCCAUGUGGUGGGGGUACAGCCCCCGCCCCGACCUGCUGCAGCGGAAUGGUCACCACACGUCCCUCUCUUGCUGGCUGGAGGGAGGGCAGGCAGCUCCUGAGUGGAAAGGUCUCUCCCACUGCUCAGGUCUCUUCUAUGUGGAAACCAGAAGCAAGAAUGUGGAGACUCAGUCCCCUGUGCCCAGAAGAGGACGAACAAGAUGUGAGAGAUGCCCACUGGACUUGACUUCCAAAGAGCUAAGGGCAUUUGACCUCCACGCGAGCAGCUUACCUCUCCUUCCGGGUCCCUUCCCUGCCCUGGUCCCCCCAGGCUUCCUCUCCCGUGACCGCCCCCUCCACCCCAAUCUCUCUUAAGCCGUUCAAAAUUUGGAGGAAAUAAAUCUCACUGCACUAA